rnacentral:misc_RNA from 1 species
GUAGGUGAACCUGCGGAAGGAUCAUUAACACGUAUCCAACGUUAAACCCCCCUGUGAACUUUCAGCACUGCUCUUGCGUUUGUCUUCAUAUUGCCAUCCCUAGUAAAUCAUGGUCAACAGUUUGAUUUAGGGACUUCAGUGUGCUUGGCAGCUGUCAAUUGAGCGGUAGUGUAAGCGCCUCAGCUUCUCCCUUGGGUCCUCUGAAGAAUUGGAAAGUGUCAUCAGAGAUGCCGAAGAGAAGGCCCUACGG